rnacentral:lncRNA from 1 species
AUGGGGACACUGAGCCUCAGAGAGAAGAACGAUGUGGCCAGGGUCCCGCAGCGAGGAUGCGGCAGAAUCAGGAUUGGAACCCAGACCUGUCUGACUCCAGAGCUUUCGGGGACUAGGAUUCUUUCUGCACGCCUUUCUCUCUCGCCAAGGUAAAGACUCCAAAGCUCAGAAGAGUAAGUUGACUUGCUCAGAAACACAGAGCCAGUGGUUGUGUGGUGCAGACAAGAAGCCAGGAGUCUGUGAUUCAAGGCCAGGAAUACCACCAUGUCUUGCUGUAUAUCUUUCAGGACUCUGUGACUCAGUUUUUCUGCAGGUUACUGUAUGAUUCUCUGGAGCAGGGUACAAGGAGACACCUUGAAGCUUGCUGGAUGCCUCAGAGGGAAGUGAGAGAGAAACAAGCACCAGAGAAGGCAGAGUGAGGAAACAGAGAAAUUGGGACUUUGGAGACAUUGUUUGAGCUGCUGGACCAAGCCUUGCCUGAAAGCAGCAUAUCUAGACUUCAACAUCCCCACUCUGAGGAGCUUCUGGGAGAGUUGGCUAGGUCUUUCCCAAGCCUGGGAAGCAGAAGCCGGGGCAGAUUAACAAUGCCAAUUACUAAGAUCCUGCAGUCGAUGAAAGGUUGGUGUUUUGCAGCCACUUCCUUAGCUGGACAAUGAGGGAGCUGACCUUUCUGUGCUCAAUAAACCAAUUGCCACUAGAGAGUAGGUUCCCUGGUGACCAGGAACCAAAAGCCAAGUUGCAGAUAUCAUUUCUGGGGGGUGGUGGCAGGGGGAAGGAGAAAGGAGAUAGGUGCUGGGGGUUGGGAAGCCUGGGUUUCGAUCCUGCGCCACUAUGUGGCUUGGGGCAGUCACUCCCUGAGCACUUCUGCACUUAGUAGGCACCUGCUGUGUGCCUGGACCCUGUAGACCAAUGUCAUUUGUGGUCAUCUUACAAAAGGACUCAGGGAUGCAGAGGAGGAGACUGCAGGAUCACUUUGUCCAAUCCUCUGGUUGUACAAGUUGGGAAACCAAAUCCCAGAGAAAGACUUAGCCCCUGAAGGCUGCCCAUGGGACGGUCCUUCCACAGUAACCUGUGCAUCACACUUGGUGGUUUACAGAGCCCUCUCUGACCCACUCUGACCACAGUCUCCCCACCGUCCCCGAGGAGACUAGAUCUGGAAGAGGAUAUUUCUUGGAUCUGGUCACCUGGCAGAGAUGAAACUCUGAUGAGAGGCUGCCCAUGCUUCACCUGCCUCCCUCCCCCUGAAGCACCUGAUCCAGGGUUGGCCUGCACCAGGAGCACUUUCCUUCUCCCAGGAGGAGAUCUGCCCUUCUCUAACUCCAACACUUUGUUAGAACCCUGAAGGUAGAGGAGCCAGACAGACCUGGGUUUGAGUCCUGACUUUGGCACUGAUGGACUGCGGGACUCUGCCCUUUACCUUAAGAUCUCAGGCCGGGUGCGGUGGCUCAUGCCUGUAAUCCCAGCACUUUGGGAGGCCGAGGUGGGUGGAUCACGAGGUCAGGAGAUGGAGACCAGCCUGGCCAACAUGGUGAAACCCUGUCUCUACUAAAAAUACAAUAAUUAGCCGGGCCUGGUGGCGGGCGCCUGUAAUCCCAGCUACUCAGGAGGCUGAGGCAGGAGAAUUGCUUGAACCCAGGAGGCAGAGGUUGCAGUGAGCCGAGAUUGUGUCACUGCACUCCAGCCUGGGUGAUAGAACAAGAUUCUGUCUCAAAAAAAAAAAAAAAAAUCUCAGGAUUCAAAGAGAUGGUGCAUGUGAGGAUAAACCUGCCCAGCCCUGCCUUGCCUUAAGCCACGAAUGUGAGGGCUCCAGAUACAUCUGUGGACGUCACUGAGAUGCGCCUGGGCUGCCUUCUCAUUUCUGGCCUCUGUGCUUCUGAGAGCCCUCUUCUCUCAAUUGAAGCCCCCUUUCUACCCCUGCCAUUCUUUUGCCCUUCCAAUUCCUGUAUCCUAGGAGUAAGGCUGGAGAAUGAGUGGAAAGAAGACACCUUUGCUUGGGAAUCUUUCAGAUGCCAGCUGGCAUGGGUUUUUGCCCUGGCUUUGAGCUGAGCCUCAGCCAAGGACUGAUCCCCUGCCUGCAGCAGUUCCAGGGAGAUGCUGUUGCUGAUGGUCCAGGGACCACACUUUUGAGAACCACGUGGCUGGAUGAACUCAGAUUCUUUUGAGUAGUGACAUUGAAUGGCUUCUUCCAAGUACUGCUGAGUCCGCUGGUUUCCCUUGUGAUCCAUGACCCACUUCCCCAGUGACUCUGCUCACAUGGGUCCUGACAGAGAUGAUGUCCUGCGAGUUUUCUGGCAAACCCAGAGGAGAGGUCCAGAGAGUGGAUCCGGGGGCUUUGCAGCAAUGGAGUGGGCUUUCAGCAAACUCAAACAUGGCACAGGUUCCAUGAUGGCCAGAGCCAGCUCUUGGAGUCUCUCCUCUUCUUGCCUUUGUCCCUAGCACUGAGCUCAGUGCCUGGACAUAGUAGCUGCCCAGCAGAUAUAUGAUGGCUAAAUGUAAACUGGAUGUCUCACAGUGUGUUCAGGAUAGAGCCAGGAUAGAACCUGGCUCUUCUGGGAGAGAACACCAGUGCCUGCUUUGGGCUGACAAGUCCUUUAUGUGUGCAUUAAUGCUGUGCGAUUGGAAGGGCUGGAGUUGGAGGUGAGAGCAAACCUACAGAAAGGGGCCAUUAGGUGUGGUCUCUACAAAGCAGGGCAGGGGACAUACACCUGUCAGGUCAUCACUGUGUCCCUGGUGCUCACACCAUGCCUGUCCCAGAAACAGGCUUCAUAACUAUUGUCAGAUUAGCAGAUGAAAGAGGUAGGUUCCUAACUCAGGGCUGAGAUGGGCCUCCGGGGGCCUGUGACCCUUUGAAAUGGUGAGCACGCUGAAGAGAUCACAGCUCUAUGAGGGGCUAUGUCACACGACAGGUCCUAUGGAGCACUAAUGCCCUUCUGGUCUUCACAAAGUUAAUCAGAUCUCUUUCUUACAGACCUUUUCAGAGCCUUUAAUAUGCUAAUAAACUCUGGGAUUCCCAGAGGGGAUUAAGAGUGCUGAGUUGCCCAGUGGUAUUGACCAGGGGAUGCUUUUAUCAGUGACUAUUUUGUGGCAUUCUUGGUCUGCAGGACACACUGACGUGGAAUCAGGUCACAAACUGCUGUCUCACAGGUCAAAUCCAGCUUCAGAUAUUUUUCACUAGGCCAUUGUAGGGUUUUAAAAGGCAAUAACUCUUACUUAAACAUUUUUAUUUUUAUUUUUUAAUUUUUAUUUAUUUAUUUAUUUUUUUGAGACAGAGUCUCGCUCUAUCGCCCAGGCUGGAGUGUAGUGGGGCGAUCUUGGCUCGCUGCAACCUCCACCUCCUGGGUUCAAGCGAUUCUCCUGCCUCAGCCUCCCAAGUAGCUGGGACUACAGGGCCCACGUCACCAGACCCGGCUGAUUUUUUUUUAUUUUUAGUAGAGACGGAUUUCAUGUUAGCCAAGAUGGUCUCCAUAUCCUGACCUCAUGAUCCGCCCACUUCGGCCUCCCAAAGUGCUGGGAUUACAGGCGUGAGCCACCGUGCCCGGCCAAACAUUUUUAAAAACUAAACUUGCAGUUUUGCUCUAAGAAAUAAGAAGUGUGCAUUCUGGGCCCACAUUCCUGCCUGGCGAUAACUGUAGAGCAGGAAGGGCCUUUGCUCUGCUGUUUGCCACAGUUCCCACCAUGCCCUACUGCCUUGCACUCUGUUCAGUUAUAUAUUUACCUUCCUUGUCUGGCCCUAAGCCUUCUCAGUUUGCUAGCAGCGACCCAGAAUGUCACCUGCCAUCCCAGCAAGCUGAGCUUUGCCCUGGAGGGGCAUAUGAAUGUCUGAAUCUCCUUACUGGCUCGGACAUUUUCUAGGGAAGGAAGGGACCCCGAGGGAUGGCUCCAGGGAAGGGUGUCUGGGCUUGCCUGGGGAGAGCAAACAGCUCCAGUGACAGCCCCCAGCCUGGGCAGGAUAAAGGGGAAGGGAGAGAAAGGGGCAGCUCAAAUUUCCUUUUAGAGGUCUUUUUGCUGUGGGGGAGCAGGGGAGUGAAGGGGAAGGUUGGGGGUAGGGAGGUGGGUGGGGGUAGGGAGGAGGAACAGGGCCUGAGACUGGCUCAUACCUCCCCAGAAGCUAAUUGUUUUGCCUCCUUCUGUGUGAGAGGUCACAGCUGGGCACACUACUAGGGGGAAUCUUGAGGAGCUCACGGGCUGCAGCUGCUGACGCAGGGCUGUGACCACCUGGCUGGGGGCCUAGGGCUGGCAUAAAACUGGGCACAGGGUCUGGGUCAAAUUUCAGGAUCUACAUGGCCAGAAGUUCAAACUGAAACAGGAAUAUGAUUGUCCUGAGCUAUAAUUUGAAUGCUUCCUAUAUUAGUAUAGGUGUGUUAAGCCUUUAAUAAAAUUUCUUAUUUAAUUUAUUUUAUUUUAUUUUAUUUGAGACAGGGCCUUUUUCUGUAGCCUGGGCUGGAGGGCAGUGGUGUGAUCAUAGCCUACUGCAGCCUUGAACUCCUGGGCUCAAGUGCUCAGAUGAUCCUCCUGCCUUAGCCUUCCAAGUAGCUGGGGCUACAAGCACACACCACCACACCUGGCUCGUUUGUUUAUUUUUAUUUUUUUGUAGAUACAGAAUCUCACUAUGUUGCCCAGGCUGGUCUCAAACUCUUGGGCUCAAAUGAUUCUUCCUGCUUGGCCUUCCAAAGUGCUGGGAUUACAGACAUGAGCCACCGUGCCUGGCCACGUCAAGCCUUUUGCGUGCAGUAGAUGAGCGGUUCUCAAAGUGUGGCCCCUGGACCUGCAGCAUUAGUAUUACCUCGGAGCUCGUCAGUAACGCAAACUCUGAAUGAUAAUUGUGAAGGUGGGGUCCAGCAGUCUGUGUUUGGAGGAGCCCCAGAGAUGGUUCCUGUCUAGUUCAUUUCAUUCUCACCACUGUGAGGCAGGCAGUGCAGUGGCCUUGAUUUUGUAGAUGCAGAAACUGAGGCAGAAGGAGGCAAAGUGACUUGCUGUGAGGACUGGAGCCCAGGCUGGUGUCAACCCAGAGCCCCAGUCUGGGACCCGCCUUCCGUGGUCCUCCCUGAAGCCAUCACCUUUCCUGGACAAGCUCCUAAAUGGGCUCAGGGCUUGUACUCUCCAAGAAGCCUUCAUGGAGGCCCCCGUUCCUCAGUCUCUGGAACGUUCCUCUUGCUCCUUAAUCACUGGUGCCUCACACCCCUGUUAAAGCACGUUUCCUCCUGGCCCACAAGCUCUCGGGGGUCGGGGGCACACGUUUGGUUUGUCUUGUCCCCUUCUCCCCUGCCAGGUGUGCUCCUUCCAUGCCUGGCACCCACAGGCCUCAUGGUGAAUGGCAGAGCAAGAGGAGGCCGGCUGCAGACCCCACUUGGGGCUGUGUCUGGGCCGGGCUGGGGGCGGCUGUGUGAAAGGCCGUCCUGUUUGAGCUGCUGCUGCUGUUCACGCCCGGCCCAUGUGCUCAUGUCCUGUGUGGGGCUUAGGUAAUGGGGCAGCAGGUGGCGGAACAGGGACCCGGGUGAGGCUGGCCCAGCCCUGCUGCAGGAUGAGCCGACUUUUCCAGGCCCCACUGAGUGCCGGUUCCUCCCACCGUCUGGCCCAGGUGCCAACACAAACAUGGGGCUCUUCCCUCCGGGGCUCUGGCUGUGGAGACCAGGGUCAGAAAACGGCACACAGGGCUCCCUUCACCUUGCCCAUGGGGAUUAACCCUUUGUACCCUGCUCUGACCUUAGGCCUGGGACACUGCAGAAGGGCAGUUGAAGCCAGGUGACUCGGUUUCCCCCAGGGCUCCACAGGCUUCUGGGGAUCUGGGGAGGUCACAGUGCUCUGUGUUUCUCAGGGCAUUGCUUGUUCACCUCCUCACCUGGCAGAUGGGGAAACUGAGACCUAGAAAAGAGAAGGUGGUCUCUUGCGGGGACUCUGUGAGCCCCCAGUUUCUACCCCGCUUCUCGUCUGUACGUUGGGCAUGGAAGCAGGAAUUCUGGACACACUAAACUGUUAGUUAGAGACCAUCAAACCACGAUCAUUCUGCCUGUGGGGAAGCUGAGGCGCAGAGAGGAAAAGGAACGUACCCAAGUUCCCAUCGCUGGUUGGCUGUGGGGCAAGGAUGAUGACGAUGAUGAUGAUGACGACGACAACCAUAAGAAUAAAAACCAACAGUUCUCGUGCUUAUUGUGCACUGGGGCCUGUUCUAAGUACUUUAUGAUCACCGACUCAUUUAGUCUUUACAAUAGCCCCAGGAGGUAGGAAUUUAUUAGUAUCCGCAUUUGACAGAUGAAGGGACUGAGGCACAGACAGGUUAAGUCACUUACUGAGGGUCACACAGCUAAUCUGUAGUGGAUCCAUG